AGCAGCCGCGGUAAUUCCAGCUCCAAUAGCGUAUAUUAAAGUUGUUGCAGUUAAAAAGCUCGUAGUCGAAUUUCGGGAUUGACACAUCGGUCGUGCCUUAAGGGGUAUGAACUGGUGUAGUCAAUUUCUCACCUUCUGGAGAACCGCGAUGCCCUUAAUUGGGUGUCACGGGGAACCAGGACCUUUACUUUGAAAAAAUUAGAGUGUUUAAAGCAGGCAUUUUGUUUGAAUACAUUAGCAUGGAAUAAUAAAAUAGGACGGCAUGAUUCUAUUUUGUUGGUUUCUAGGAUCACCGUAAUGAUUAAUAGGGAUAGUUGGGGGCAUUAGUAUUCAAUUGUCAGAGGUGAAAUUCUUGGAUUUAUUGAAGACUAACUACUGCGAAAGCAUUUGCCAAGGAUGUUUUCAUUAAUCAAGAACGAAAGUUAGGGGAUCGAAGACGAUCAGAUACCGUCGUAGUCUUAACCAUAAACUAUGCCGACUAGGAAUCAGACGAUGUUAAUUUUUAAUGACUCGUUUGGCA
rnacentral:rRNA from 1 species